ACAGCAGCUGGCUCUUCUUUGUGCUGCGGGCACCUGCCAGCCCUGCUCUAGCAUCAGCGCAGCCUAUGCCUGGGGCUGCCCACCCUGAGAGAGCAGGCCCAUUCCUCUGCAGGGCCCAGGAUAGCACCUGUAUGUGCCCCUUCCACCCUACCCUGGGUCCCUGCUGAAUGGACUCUCCUUCCCAUGCCUGGCACCAGCUCAUCAGCCUGCACAGCAUGAGGAAGGUCACUUUCAUGGAGCUGAGAUGCUUACCCUGCCAUGCCAGCAUGAGGACACACAAGUUCAGGAAGCCAUACUAGUCCAGCAGCUAGUUUCUCUUGCCAUUUGGAAGCUGGCUACCCUAAUCUGCUACAGGCAGGUCAACUAUCAGUACUGUGGUGGAGGUGGUGUCUACAUGCUACAUGCCUGAGAUCAGUGGCUUCAAAUUACGGUAUGCUGCUGACCUUGUUGGAGGAAAUUGACAGCACUUGUUUCUCUGAUACUGGAGGAAAAGCAUGUGGAUUUGCUACUCGACUUCAUAAGUUUGAGACAUUUUUCAAUCUGCAACUGGUUCUACUUAUUCUUGACCAAGUAGAAUUGAUUAACACGAGUCUACAGAAGAUCAGCCUGAAUUUUCAGGAAGCACAAAGAAUGAUUUUUCCUCUGAGACACUUCAGCUAUUGAGAAACAAUGGUUUUGAGGAUCUGUGGAAAGAGGCUUCUGCAAAGGAUGAACAGCUGGAUCUUGAGGAACCCUGCCUGCCUAAUGUAAGGAAAGCAUUGAGGUGAACUGAUGAAGGAAACAAUGCCCAUGUUUUUGCUGCACCUAUGGAUGUGUAUUGAAAAUUAUUUACUGAAGUUUUCAAUCCUGUAAUGAGGAGUCUUGACUUAAGAUUUGAAUCUGACACAAAUGGAACAGUUUGCAACUAGCAGUGAGAUGGUUAAAGUCGAACAAGUGCAGAGCUUCACGUGCAGCAUCAUUGCAAACAGUUCCAGUGAGAACGGAGGAUGAGACACAGCAAUUCCUGUGACUGAGGAGAAAGCACUACAAGAGAGUUCAAACAGAGAAAAGCUCAA